GCGACGCUAGAACCUAGUUUUUUCUCCUUCUCCUUCCAAUCGGAAGCUGAGAAAUAGAGAGUACUCCAAUCUGGGCCUUGGUCUUUCUCCAGCCAUCUUCUCGUACUUAUGCAGUGCGAACCUGACACACCUGAGUUCUGUUAUGAUUUUAAUCAUUGUGAUUUCUGGGUAAAGUUUAUAGGCUUACAUUAUGGGAGAGUUACUUAUGAUGUUAUCGAGGCAAUUGCUUCCAAACUUGGAGUAGUUGUCGAAGUGAAACUGGAGGAAAAGGGAAAUAGCACC
rnacentral:lncRNA from 1 species